GAUGAACGCUGGCGGCGUGCUUAACACAUGCAAGUCGAACGGAAAGGCUCCUGCUUGCAGGGGUACACGAGUGGCGAACGGGUGAGUAACACGUGGGUGAUCUGCCCUGCACUUCGGGAUAAGCCUGGGAAACUGGGUCUAAUACCGGAUAGGACGAUGGUUUGGAUGCCAUUGUGGAAAGUUUUUUCGGUGUGGGAUGAGCUCGCGGCCUAUCAGCUUGUUGGUGGGGUAAUGGCCUACCAAGGCGUCGACGGGUAGCCGGCCUGAGAGGGUGUACGGCCACAUUGGGACUGAGAUACGGCCCAGACUCCUACGGGAGGCAGCAGUGGGGAAUAUUGCACAAUGGGCGCAAGCCUGAUGCAGCGACGCCGCGUGGGGGAUGACGGCCUUCGGGUUGUAAACUCCUUUCGCUAGGGACGAAGCGCAAGUGACGGUACCUGGAGAAGAAGCACCGGCUAACUACGUG
rnacentral:rRNA from 1 species